rnacentral:tRNA from 1 species
GGGCCCUUAGCUUAGUUUGGUAGAGCGCCAGAUUUGCAUUCUGGAGGUCAACGGUUCGAUCCCGUUAGGGUCCA